UGUGCGUGCGCGUUGCUUCGACUAGUGGUACACUCAUUUUCUUUCCUUUUCUUUACGAUCUUUCCUUCCCACUUUUCUCUUAAGAUCUUAAUUUUUCGAAUUUGACGUUCACCAAAAAGAAGGAAAAGGAAGAAACUUUACUGUAGAGAACGUCCAAGAAGAUUAACGAGAAAGAUGAUGAAUUCUGUUACGCGUUUGAUUGGUUCUCUACAAAUAAUUAGUUCGUUAGUAUAGUAUUUCAAGAUAUUUUCAUUGAAUGUUUUUCGAAAAGAAUCGAUCAAUAGUUCGGAAUGUAAACGCGUUGAAUCCGAUAAUUACGUUGUCCAUUAGGUGGUAAUUAUAAUUGAAGUUUUAAGAUGAACGAACGUAUAUCAACAUCGAGAUAUACAUAUAUCCUUUCAGGGCUUUUCAAUAGUUCCAUGCCCUAUUCUGACAUUUAUAAAAAAUCUCGAACAAUCAUAACGAAAGUACUUGCGUCCUUGGCCACUUGGUGACAACAAUCAAAGACUUUUUGAUGAUCGCCGUUUAUUUGAAAAAGUAGAAAGCGAAUGCUGGCACGAAGGACAGAAGGUUACGAAGUAACGAAACGACUUCUAUAGAUCUUUUCUACGGUCUACGUGCCUAUAACUAUAUUCUCUAAAGCGACUUCAAUGUUAUGUAUAUUUCAAACGGAUAUCCGGUUUAUCACAUAUCUUUCGUUCGAUUGUCUUGGACGUUUAAAGAAGCAACCUCUUUCUUUUUUGUGUAAAGCCAAAGACUGUAUCUGUAAGUAGAAUUUAAUCUGCAUAUAAAUAUUACCUGUCGAUACCCGAGAAAAGCUAUAAACCAAUCGAUUCAUAUGGUAAUACACGUACGAUAUUAGAUAGUUUCAGAAGAAAGAAAAUUUUUCGAUCCCGAGGAUUUUUCCAAGAAGCCGAGAAACCAACUUAUAAUACUUCUUUUAAGCCAACUGGACGCUUAUAUUAUCAAGAAUAAGAUACGUUCGUAUUUAAUGUUGAAUACUUGCUAUAUUUCUUAGAAAGUUAACGUUUAUUCUGAUAAUAAAUAUGAGAAGUUUCGUUUUUAUUCCGAAGUCAUUCAGCAACGAUCUUCACACGAUCGUUAAAUAAGCGAUGGAGAAAAAAAACGAGAAAGAAGAAGAAGAAGAAGAAGAAGAAGAGGAAGAAGAAGAAGAAGAAGAAGAAGAAGAGAGAGAUAGAAGAAACUCUCAUCUUCGGUCUUCCUAUUCUUUACCCCUUUUAAGGCCAGUACUUGCAGAUCCCUCAUGAGAUUCCGAAAAUAGAUACGACCAAAGUCUUUUAACCGAUGGCUUCGUUACUAUAUUAUUUUACAUUACAUGCGCGCGAGAAAACUCGAUAAUCGAUAACGGCCAACGUAAUACAUGAUAACAUGCACCAAGAAUGACCAUCCAUCUGGAAUAUCUCGUGAUGAGGGCCCAUCAAAUCGUACGAUGGUAACUCUGACGAUCGAAUCUCACGAUAAAUCUGGAAAUUCAGCCAUCAAAAGAGAUGCACGCUCAAUAUCACUGUCGUACAUCGUUGAGAGGAUCGAUUCGUUUUCAAAUCGAUAUUCAAUGUGAUCGACACAAAUCGUCGAAGAAGAAAAUGACGUUUGGAUUACACUUUUAUUUUUUUGUUAUUGCGAUAUCCGUUUCACAUUCCUGUGAUAUUAAAUACGAUGAAUAAUAAUGUUGCGAAUUACGAGAGGUCGAAUAUGAGUAAUAAUUACGAGCUUUCGAGAACGCAUAAAAAUAUUAAAGUUAAAUUAAAGAAAAAUUAAAUUCAUACCAUCCGACGAAGUUACUUUCUCUCUUUUUUUUUUCUCUUUCUCUGUAACGAUAUAUUUCAAAGUAUGCAUAUACAUACAUAUGUAAGUAUGUAAAUUUGAAAUAUCAGUUUAAGCAUAGUACGAAUUUCAGAUUUCGAACGAACAUUUUUCUUAUUAUUAUGCAAAUUAAAAUCAGUAUGCCAUCUCUAUCGCGUUUUAUAUUCUCUGUAGCAGUACAUUCAAAUCCUCUAACGAUAUAAUCUUUGAUUUAUCAUUUUAGUUUGGUCAGCUCUCGAGAGAAAACCAUAGUGUAAAAGCAAUCUGCUUCUUAGGAAAAAUUCAUACGAGUGAAUAUCAGUUCAUCGCAUUAGCAAAUAUCUAUAGUUCAAAAUUUCUUUUUCUUAUUAUAUUCUUUUAUUCGUUAAAACAAAAUCAUUUGAAGCGAUUCUAUAUUAACACAUGCGUCUUUGAUAAAAAAAAAAAAAAAGCAGGAUUAAAGUUUUGAGAGAACUUGCGUCACGUCGUGGCAGGAAGUUCCGUUUCCGCUCGAGAAACUACGCAGAGUGCUUCCGCAGUACGAACUACUUGUUCCCGUCGUGUUUACAAAUAUCAACUGAUCACGACACCGUAAAUAACGCUGAAAUAUUAUUUGCGAAAAAUCUCGAGAACACUUCUUACAAAAGAUAAUUCAUUUUUAAAGAUCUUUUUCAUUGACCAAAAUAUGAAAUAGAACGAACGUACAACUAGCAAACUUGUUUUUGACGAAUAACAACAACUUUUUCGUUUUCUCAAAUCUAUUAUAAGCGAAUGAGGAUAUAAAAAUGAUGCAAAUUGGUUUCUAAAAUUUUUUCUUUUUCAAUAAAGCGAUUAAUAAAUUAAUUCUAAGAUUUAUCGAUAGUUAGUUUUUUAAUGAAACGUAAACAAUUUUAUCCGUCAAAGCAUAUUUUCCUUGACGUAAUGUUUAUAUACAUUGGAAAUAGUGCAAUAUCUAUCACAGUUACGUGCCAUUGGUAAGUUUAUCGUCAGUGUCUCUCGAAAUACCGUCGGUUUUGC